AUGGACGCCGGGGAGAGCGCCGUGACGUGCGUCGACUUCUGGGCCAACGGGUUCGGCAUGCGGGCGCGGAUCGCGCUGCGCGAGCUAGGCGUGGCGUUCGAGUACGUCGAGGAGGACCUCCGCGUCGGCGUGAGGAGCGACCUGGUGCGGCGCAUGAACCCCGUCCACCGCUCCGUGCCCAUCCUGAUCCACCGCGGCCGUCCGGUCUGCGGCUCCCUCAACAUCCUCGAGUACAUCGACGAGGUCUGGAGCGCACCGGGCGAGACCCGCCGCUUGCUCCCCGGCGACCCGGCCGGCAGGGCCGACGCCAGGUUCUGGGCCGACUUCGUUGACCACAAGGUGUUCCCUACUCAGACAAGGUUCCUGAAGAGCAAGGGCGAGGAGAAAGAUGUGGCCAAGGAAGAGCUUGUCGAGCAACUCAAACUCCUGGAGGAGGUGCUUGGGGACAAGGGAUAUUUUUCGGGCGAAGAAUUCGGGUUCUUGGAUAUCGUCCUCAUCCCAUUUUCAAGCAUGUUUCGUGGGUACGAGCAGCAUGGAGGGUUUGACCUCGAGGUUGAGUGCCCCAACCUCAUGCGAUGGGUGAAGAGGUGCAAGGAGAGGGAGAGUGUCGGAGCUGUUCUUCCGGAUGAGACGAAGAUGUACCAAUUACACAAGGAGUGGUACGGUAUUGAGUAG
rnacentral:rRNA from 1 species